GGUGGACGCUUUUUGUGCUGGUAAAUGAUGAGAAAUACAAAGUGAACGUUGAUCGAAAUGUCGAUAGUUAUCUGAUGAAUAUCGACGGAACUUUUGUGAAAUUCCAUUCCUCGUCUAACCUUGCAUCAAAUCUUGUAGAAGCAACAAUAAAUGAGAAAAAGGUCUUUGUACAGAGUUUGUCAAAAAAUGGUCAAAAUAUCAAACUUCAACAUUAU